CCGUGAGUUGGACCAGUCAUUCUGGAGAUCCAGGAUGACAUUGGGUGGGAGGUCAAGAAGAUCCUACAGCACUUCCUCCCCUUUGUCUGGGCUGGCUUGGGCUAAGGUCAUGGCUUUCCCUCAGCUCCAGGCUAUGUUGGAGUCUGCCAUGGCAUUGAACUGACUCUCCUGCUUGAAGAAGCCGAAUGGCAUCUGCCAUGGCCUUGAACUGGGACACACGAUCCAGGAGGCUCAGCAGGUGAAAGACGAAGGGACCUUGAAAGCAGUAUGGCUUGCUGCUCUUCCAGACUCAGAGGCAGCUCCGGUCCUGCUGCCAGGAGGACAGGUGACUGGGUUUUUCCAUUGUGGUGAUGAAUUGGGCUGAGUCACCAUUCCUCUCCAGUCCCCUCGUGACCAUGACUGGAGCAAGUAAAAAGCAAAGUAAAAGAACUAGCAGGUGGGGUCGGAGGCGCAGAAGAGCCUGGGGCCACGGAAGCUUGCUCUCUUGGCAGGGAGGGUGAGGCAGGAACCACCCCCCACCCCCCACUCACACUCUCCACUCACUGUGAGCCACAGGGCCUCAGGGGGAGAAGAGCGGAUCCUUUCUCUUCUUUUAUGGGGUUGGUUGAGUGCCUCUUUGGUGCCAAGACCUGUGCUGUGGAGUGCACUGGCGAUCCAGAGCGGACCAGGUUUAUGCACUGAGGGAGGAAACCAGCUCAGAGUCCCAUAAUCUAGGUACUAGGCCAACUCUGCUAAAAUGCGUGAUUGAGGUUAGCAUGCAGUAUGGUGGGGGCCUGCAGGAGUCAGCGAGAGCUUCCUGGAGGAAGAGGCAUCUGAGAGGUGGAAAGUCAGCGGAUGGAGAUGGGAAAAGGGAUGAUGGGGGAGACACCAUCCAGCCUUCAUCCAUUAGGUCAGCCAGGCCUUCCACAAAGCUCAGGAAGGUUCAGAGCUAAACCCUGCCAGGAGUUCCUGAAAGGAGGUAGAGAAUGCAGGGUGUGUGUGAGCAGAAGGUGAAGAAUCAGGAAGUGGGUGAGAGUGAGUAUCAGGCCUCAGCCUGGAUCUGGAAUUUCAGCGGGCGCCAGAUGACCUGCUCCCUGCUCCUGGGCCACCCUGGACCACGCACUGGCAAUGUUGCUGCCCCCUUUCUUCCCUGCAUGCAAAGACCCUCUCCUGCAGGACCAGCCCUUGCUCUCCAGGUAACUCUGGACACCCUACCAUCUCCUCCCCCACCCCAGAGGGCAGCAGGACCCCUCCCCACCACCCCCCAUCGGAAGUCUCACCAGACACACAGAGCCUGAGUUUGUGCUACAUCAGGUCAAAGGGUGGAUCUGGCAAUAUUUUUUAAAAAUUCUAAUAGUCCUAAUAGAAUUUAAGAAUUCUAAUAAAAAAUUCUAAUAGAAAACUUAUAAGAUGCAGAAGGAAAAUUAAAAUCUCAUAAUGCCAUUGUCUAAAGAUAACUAGUGUUAAUAUGUUAAUAUCUUGGGGGUUUAUAUCCUUCAGCAGUUUCUGUGUGU